AUGGCAGAGUCGACGGCGAGCAUCGGCGGGUACAUGGCGUCGGGGUACCGGAGGGUGGCCGGCGUGCAGCUCUCCAUCAACCACCUCAAGCCCGCCCGCCUCGGCGACCGCAUCGAGGCCAAGGCGAACCCCCAUCCGGACCAGCUGCUGGACGCGGUGCACUGGAUCCGGCAGGCGGUGGGGCUCGCCUGCGGCCUGCUCUGGAGCGCCGCCCCCCUCGUCGGCGCCUUCUGGAUCGCCCUGUCAGUCCCUCCCUCCCUCCAUCCUCAAAGCCCCAACCUUCUUCUUUCCCUUCAGACAUAG
rnacentral:rRNA from 1 species